UACGGAGGGGGCUAGCGUUGUUCGGAAUUACUGGGCGUAAAGCGCACGUAGGCGGACUGUUAAGUCGGGGGUGAAAUCCUGGGGCUCAACCUCAGAAUUGCCUCCGAUAUGGCAGUCUCGAGUGCGGGAGAGGUGAGUGGAAUUCCCAGUGUAGAGGUGAAAUUCGUAGAUAUUGGGAAGAACACCAGUGGCGAAGGCGGCUCACUGGCCCGUAACUGACGCUGAGGUGCGAAAGCGUGGGGAGCAAACAGGGAUUAAGAAC
rnacentral:rRNA from 1 species